GUAACCAAGCCGUCUUAUCGUUCUGAUUUGGGGUUUAACCAAAGCAGGAAGGAAAGUCCGGACAGCGUAGAGUACCGUACUUCCUAACGGGAAGGCAAACAGCUGGAGACGGCUGUUUGACAGCAAGUGCAACAGAAAAUAUACUACCACUUUACUAUUGUAAGUGGAAAAGGUGAAAAGGUAGGGUAAGAGCCUACCGCUCGUUUGGUGACAAAUGAGGCAUGGUAAACCUUACGGGCUGAAAGACCAAAUAAGUACUGAUUGUGGGGUUACUCGCUCCAACGCCCUACAAAGGCUGUCAGUAUGGGUAGGUUGAUAGAUUUCGACGGUGACGUCGAAACCAGAUAAAUGAUAAGAGUCUCGGUAUAUAUCGGGAAAACAGAAUCCGGCUUAUAGGCUUGAUACGCUA
rnacentral:RNase_P_RNA from 1 species